UGCAUGGCUGUCGUCAGCUCGUGUUGUGAAAUGUUGGGUUAAGUCCCGCAACGAGCGCAACCCUUAUCCUUUGUUGCCAGCGGUCCGGCCGGGAACUCAAAGGAGACUGCCAGUGAUAAACUGGAGGAAGGUGGGGAUGACGUCAAGUCAUCAUGGCCCUUACGACCAGGGCUACACACGUGCUACAAUGGCGCAUACAAAGAGAAGCGACCUCGCGAGAGCAAGCGGACCUCAUAAAGUGCGUCGUAGUCCGGAUUGGAGUCUGCAACUCGACUCCAUGAAGUCGGAAUCGCUAGUAAUCGUGGAUCAGAAUGCCACGGUGAAUACGUUCCCGGGCCUUGUACACACCGCCCGUCACACCAUGGGAGUGGGUUGCAAAAGAAGUAGGUAGCUUAACCUUCGGGAGGGCGCUUACCACUUUGUGAUUCAUGACUGGGGUGAAGUCGUAACAAGGUAACCGUAGGGGAACCUGC
rnacentral:rRNA from 2 species